rnacentral:rRNA from 1 species
AAUGAACGCUGGCGGCAGGCCUAAAACAUGCAAGUCGAACGCUCUAGCAAUAGAGAGUGGCGCACGGGUGAGUAACACGUGGGAAUAUGCCUUUUGGUACGGAACAACGUCUGGAAACGGACGCUAAUACCGUAUGGUCCCUCCGGGGUAAAGAUUUAUCGCCAAAAGAUUAGCCCGCGUCUGAUUAGCUAGUUGGUGAGGUAAUGGCUCACCAAGGCGACGAUCAGUAGCUGGUCUGAGAGGACGAUCAGCCACACUGGGACUGAGACACGGCCCAGACUCCUACGGGAGGCAGCAGUUAGGAAUAUUGGACAAUGGGCGCAAGCUUGAUCCAGCCAUGCCGCGUGAGUGAUGAAGGCCUUCGGGUUGUAAAGCACUUUAGUCCACGAAUAUAAUGACUGUAGUGGAAGAAUAAGCCCCGGCUAACUUCGUGCCAGCCGCCGCGGUAAUAC